GUUGAUGCGGAAACGCUGUAGUUGUGGUUUCCUCAGAACCAGCUACAUGGCUAAAUAUCCCAGAUAACACUCAAACGUAGCCUUUGUUAGUACGAGGACAACGUUUUACAGCUAAAUCAUAACCUUUCGGGAGGUUAUGUUGAGUCGUUAACAUUUUCAAACUUUCACGUCAUUUCACUCUGUGUCUGGAGUGAGCAGGAUGCUAACAGCUGUCGUUAGGAAACUGCAGGAAAUUAGCUAGUUUAGCUAGCAGAGACCACAGACAGGUGACUUUAUGUCUCUCGAUAUCGGCUCUUAAUGCUCGUAUUGGACUUGAAUAACAUCUUCGUAAUGGACACCGAGGCAAUAGUGAUCCGUAUAAAGACGCCGUCGGGGGACAUGGACUCGUCCGUGGACUGUCCGUCUCUUCUUAACUUUAAUGAUUUGCUGGUCGCCAUCAGAGAUGUCAUGCCUGAAGCCACUGUCACUGCCUUUGAAUAUGAAGAUGAGGUUGGAGACAGAAUCACUGUAAGAAGUGAUGAAGAGCUCAAGGCCAUGUUGUCAUAUUACUACAACACAAUGAAUGAACAACGCAUGAAUGGACUGCUGCCAGACCCUCUCCAGAUUUUUCCAAGAGCCGGCAAGACUCCAGGGAUCCGGAACAUACAUGGCCUGAAGGUUAAUACAAGACCUAACCCAGCCAAUGACUGCACUCAUACUGUCCCGGACUCCAUGACAAACAACAGUUUAAAAAAAUCAUCCGCUGAGCUGAAGAGGAUCUUGUCCAAUGGGCAGAUAAAUGCCUUAGAUAUCCACUACCAAGAGCAGCUCGGCCAUGGAAAUGGAGGCACAGUUUACAAAGCGUACCAUGUUCAUGGGAAGAGGGUUUUAGCUGUCAAGGUCAUUCCACUGGAUAUCACUGUGGAACUACAGAAGCAGAUUAUGUCAGAAUUAGAAAUUCUCUACAAGUGUGAUUCACCCUACAUCAUCACUUUCUUUGGUGCCUUUUUCGUUGAGAACAGGAUAUCCAUAUGCACCGAAUUCAUGGACGGUGGUUCUCUGGACGUGUUCAAAAGGAUACCAGAGCAUGUUCUGGGAAGGAUCGCAGUUUCAGUAGUCAAAGGCCUGACGUAUCUGUGGAGCCUUAAGAUACUUCACAGAGAUGUCAAGCCUUCCAAUAUGCUGGUGAACACCCGAGGACAAGUCAAGCUCUGUGACUUUGGUGUCAGCACACAGUUGGUGAAUUCCAUUGCCAAAACCUACGUGGGAACUAACGCAUAUAUGGCGCCAGAGAGGAUAUCUGGAGAACAGUAUGGUAUCCAUGCAGAUGUGUGGAGUGUGGGAAUCUCUUUCAUGGAGUUGGCACUGGACAUGUUCCCCUAUCCACAGAUUCAGAAAAACCAAGGAUCUUUAAUGCCUCUCCAGUUACUGCAAUGCAUCGUUGAUGAGGAUCCUCCAGUUCUGCCUGUGGACCAGUUCAGUGAAAAGUUUGUUCACUUCAUCACUCAGUGUAUGCGGCGGCAACCCAAAGAGAGGCCUGCCCCUAAUAACCUCAUGGAUCAUCCCUUCAUCACGCAGUACAACGAUGGCAACACGGAGGUCGUGUCGAUGUGGGUUUGUCGCUGCUUGGAGGACAGACGGUCUCAGCAGGCUCAAGGGCGCGUCUGACGGGAGUCCCCACGAUGGACCUGGACUUUCGAUCCUAAGCCUUGGACACUAAUCAAAGUCUUCAGGAUCAAAUUCCUUUUCUAGGUUUCUUUGCCCUGAAGGAAGGUGUUGUUGCCAAAAUGCAGUUGUAUGAAGAGCAGGUGUGAUGGGAAUAGACGAAGAUGAAGCUGUGAGACUGUAACCAGAGCUGAAAUGUCUUUCUCUCUCAGAUCAUUUCAUUUACAGUAUCCUGAAAGGUUAUUGUGGAAUUAAUGAUCAAUAACACCCAAAAGAAAAUCUGGAUACUUUACCAUCAAGCCUUUAUUGAACCAGUUUUAGGUGAUUUUUAGUUUUUCAAGAAGCUGCAGAGCAUGGAUGCUAAAAGCUGCUUCGCUUUGCUUAGUUUUGAUUCAGGGAGUAAAAGCUGUUCUCCGAUGACCCGAAGCGUCCGGAUGCACCGUAUCUUACAAAUACAUCAGAGCUGUGUUUAAGCCCAAGACCAUUUAGUGUUUUAUAGACGAGUAGUGGGUUUUUACAGUCUUAUCGUUUGACUCACAGAAGGGCCAAACGGUGAUUUAAGGGCCGAAGGUAUGUGCUCCACUUUCUUGGUGUUGGGAGUGGACACUGAUUUGUAAGUUUUAGUUUGGUGAAUUUAAAACAAGCACCACAUUUGAAUAGAUUUUUGAGGCUAAAGACAAUGUGUUUAUUCCAAAGCCUUUUCAUCCUGUUAAAGGUCCAGUGUAUAAAAUUCAGGUUAAAUUAUAUGAAUUUGGUAGAAAGAGUGCCGUUAUCUGAUUGUAUGAAUUGUUGUUUUUCAUUAACCCAAGAAUGAGCCUUUUAUAUUUAUAUCAGAAGCAGGGUCGGCUCUACAGAGACAGCCAUUUUGGACCGUAAUGUUUUACAGUAGCCCACAAUGGACUAAACUACUAAAUUUCUUUUGAGUUGUCAUGGUAAUUAAAGUCUACAUAGGUUCUCAAACACACUUGAAGGGGAAGGGUGAGGGAUUUUCCGCUUGCAUCUUUACCACUAAAUGUUGCAGGAUUUUCCACACUGUACCUUUAAGCAGCACUGCAACAUUACUGAAACAUCAACACUUUAUUAUGUGUUGUCAACACUCAUCUGGAGGAAGCAGGGUUUCUUUAUUUUUGAACUUUUAUUUCCAUUUGCACACUCAUGCCUGACAUUGAACGCAGCUGGCUGAACUGUUGGAGAGGAAAUCUGCUGAAGCAGUUCUCCACUUUUGUUCAGCAGCUGUUUGUUUUUUUAUCCAUUAAGAAUAAGAGAAACUACAGACAGAUGGAAUCAUAACAGGAACCAUAACUCUCCCUCUCUUUAUGAAACACCAUUUUUCUCAGUUUAAAUUACUGUUUUAUCCACAUCGUCCCCAGAUAAUCCUUUACUCUCUGUACAAUGCAGAGCCGUUUUAUAUUAUUGGAUUGCUCUCAGUGAGAUCACUGCUGAGGUAAAACAAAUGCAGUGCAAAUAACACCAAAGAUCAGUGACAGGCCAAAUGGUGAAUUAUAUGGAUUUGUCACGACUGAGGGAAACAUAAUGGUUGAAGUGAAUAAAAUGAAUUGAUCUGACCUGGUGUUUACGUGCAGCUGGUGAAAUGUGUUGUGCUUAAGUGCAAUUAAAUCCCAUUACUUCCACAAAGGCACAGUAAACAAAGCCUACAGUGGAGCCGUGUUCAUUGUGAGCAGUGCUGAAAGCGAGUGUAACGGCGGUGCAUUAGCCUCAGCAGCAGCACUAUUUUAUUUUAUUACCUGGUCCGAUGUGGUUGUAUCAUAUGUUGUUGUGAAAACAGAGUUCCAUUUCUGGGCUUUAACUGUAAAUCACUCAAACAUCCGCUCCAUUAAGUCAUUAAUAACCUGUUGAGGUUUCUGUUCAUUGUACAUGUCCUAAGCUAACAGGUCAUCAUUAUUUUUGGAACAUUUAAUAGUUUAAUAGCUUAUUUCCAGGGUGAAGGCAGGAGAGGCUUGAUUCUAGUGUUCUGAAUCUCUGACUAUCAUGGAGUUGCACACUUCUUUAGGGCUGCAACCAUUAUUAAAUUCAUCGAUUAUUAAUCGAUGAUUAGUUGUCAACUAUUUUAAUGUUAUUGUGAUACUUUAAUGUUAUUUUUUUAAUAAAUUGAACAAGUUUUCUGAUUUUUCAGCUUCUUAAAUGUGAAUAUUUUCUGUUUUCUUUGUUCCAUAUAACAAAGAAAUCAUGGUUUGUGGACAAAACAAGACAUUUUCUGGUUUGUGAAACACCAACCAACAUUUUUCACCCUUUUUGGACAUUUUAUGGACCAAACAAACACUUGAUUAAUCGGAAAAGUAAUUGACAGAUGAUGAAAAUAAUCGUUAAUUGCAGCUCUACACUUGCAUACAAUGUAUGUACCCACUCACAAAACUUAAAUCUCCUUCCCACAGUGGAAAAACCAACAAACCUGGCUUGUGCCUGCAGUGCUAAUGGACACCACCGUCACCAUUUAAGUCAGUUUUCCAGUCUGUCGUUAUAAUUUGCACCAUUCGGUAAUGAUCCAAUAUUGUUCUUUUGCUUCACUUUGAAAUGGGGACUUUAUGAAAGACAUAAAAGCUGUGUUUCCAUCGAGUGGAACGGUUCAGUUUUGUACAGUAUGGUACAUAUUUAUCUGCCUUUCCAUUAGCAAUAAUAUUAAAAUAACCAGAGUAAAAAUGUACAGUAAGGGCAGGGGUGGAGCCACAUUUGUCGCCAGUGUUUCCUCAACGCAUGCAGUCUAUUUUCAUACAAAGCUUGACGUCUUGUUGAAACAAACAGCCACAAACUGAGCAGGAAAAAAGAUCGAGCACAUGGAUUACAGUAGCUUCAUUCAGAGGUGAUUUGAGCACACGUGGACACAUUUCCCAGCUGCAUGAGUUUAGUCCAUCCACAGGACACAUUGGAGACUGUCUCCUCAUCUUACGCCAUCUGUCCUGUGGCAGUUUCGGGAUGUUUUUUAACCCGCUGAUCGUAUGCAGUCACAGUAGAUGAAGGAUAUUUUUGUGCAACAGUGGGUUGUGUGGGGAAAAUGUUGGUUCCAUAAAUGUCUUUAAAACAAAACAAUAGAAACAAUUACAUCACAAGAUGCAUUUGAAGGUUUUGAUAGAAGCUAGUAAAUGUCAAACCAAAAUGUUAUAUAAUAUUGACUAGUUGAUAAAGCAUUUUUAAGUUAGCACAGCCUGUGUCACCCGUCUUGUUUUGCUUGUUUAUCAGCAGUGUGAACACAUUGAUCCGGCGGUUUCUGUCCGCACGGGUCAGAGGAGUUUAUCAGGUUACAAUGUUGUGUGCCUCUCAUUUUGUCCUCGUCUACAUCAGACCACCUCAUUAGUUCUUUUUUUUUUAAUUGAAUACUUUUCCACAUGCGUGACAUUUGGCUCUUAUGUCACAGCUGUCGUGUUUCAGUUUGUGAGGUUUACACUUGUUGGGGUUUAUGAGGCAUAGGGUUUUUUGUAUGAAGUUUUAGGAAGCAAGAUGUCAGGGCCCAGUGUGUAGAAAUUGAAUACUUACCUAAUAAUUACCUGAAAAUACAGAAGCGUUAUAUCAGUCAUUCACAGAGACUGUGUCAGGACUCACAGUUGGGUUUCACAGUCACCAAAUAAGCAUGCUUUUCUGAAAUAAUGUGCAUAAUCUUAGGUUAAGAUUAAGACAUGAAUUUAUCAAACUUUGAAAUUGAAUCAUAAUAGUCGUGAUCUAUAAAAAAAAUCACACUUCUUUUACUUGUAUCACAUUCCUACUGGACAAAAAGUAAUUUAAUCCUGAGUUAAAACGGGUUUUUCACCAGUGGGAGUGUGUUAAUCUGCAUUCAUUCCUGGGUAUUUAUCAGCUUCUGCUCUGAUUGUCAUUAGAAACUGGUGAAACAAUGUCUUCAUCUGCUCUGUUUUUGCCUCUGACAUUUACUCAAAAUCCUCCACACUGGUCCUUUAAUAUAACGCUGAUCAUUAAUAAUCUUCCAAAUUUGAAGAUUCCUGCAUUUGUGAAAAAAUAUCAGUGUGGUUUUUCCAAUAGAUGCACAAUAUAUAUAUAUACAUACUGUAUAUACUCUGUAUUUUAUAUUUUAAUUAUACUCCUCUAAUUCUCACAGUGGGUAAGUAAUAUUCUAUCAUACUGUUAGUGCAUCUGAGACAGCUGCCUGAUAUGAAAUUGGUCGUAAAUGUAACUAAUGCAAAUGCAGUCAAGUUAAAGCAAUUAAACGUGUAGAAUAACGUGUGUGUGUGCCAUGUGGCCACUUGCUAAAAUGUAAAAUUAAACCACAAUUAAAAGAGUAUUUCAUGUUUCUGAA